CACAAGGAAGAGUGAGAAAUACAUGCCGUAGCGAAUGCCAAGAGAAAAAAAAUUGAGAUAAUUUAAACUCUAGACGAGGUAGCUAUUAUUGAAGAUGGACGAUACUCACGUUGUAACCAACAAUUCCUAUUUUAUGUUUUGGCUUUACCCGCGUGUACGUGACAUGGGGUAGAUCGGGAAGUGGAUCAGACGAGCGGUUCGAAUCAUUCCCCGUUUGGACGCUCUCGUCAACAAUCUUCACCGGCGGUGGCACACUAGCGGCAGGUUUGGCAAGCGUUUUGCGAUUCAAACGCUUCAUAUAGAUGACCACCGACAUUAGCAGGGUGAGUGUGAUCAGCAAGCAGGAGAUCGUGACGAACGCCUGUCGAUCAUUUGCCUCACUCUGCACGCUCCCAUCUUCGGUUAUGUCCACCAGAACGGGAUGGUUCUCCGAUUCCAAGUACACCAGUUGGGUGUUGGUUUCGUUGGAGCUUUCGACAGACAGGGAAGCGGGCUCCUCCUCCGGCGUUGUAUGGUUGAUCGUGGAGGGAUCCUCAAUUUUCUUCACCGCCGUAUCGAUGAAGGUGAUCUCGACGCGUGACGUAGUCGUCACCAGCUCGUACAUGCUUUCGUUGCUGGCAGUUCGUGAGUGACCUUUUGUUAGCACCAUGCUCAUCUCGGUGUUGUUGGGAAGGUACUCGUGGUACGAUUCGGCGUAGGUCGCGUUUGGUAGCAUUUGUCCAGUAGCUUCGGUUGUUGAAGUGGUAGUGGAGGAGGUAGUGGAGGAGGGGGUAGUGGAAGUUACGGUGCUAUUCUCAGAAGUGCUACUACUUCUGGUAGUGCUAGAGGUGGUGGUAGAAACAUCAACCAACGCCGUGGAGCUGCUGAGCAACGCUGCAAGUGUUUCAUUAUCGACUUUGAUCCACUGCUCCGCUGAUAUCCGUUCGGUGCUUUCCGAGGAGAAACUGUUCUCUAUCGUUCGGUUGAUGUUAUCAAACAUUACUAUCUCGUCAUCCGGCAUACACGUUCCAGUUUGUGGGUGACAGGAUCUGGUGGUGCAAUUGCACUUGCUUACACACAUCGUCCCGUAAAAUCCAGAAGGACAAGGAGUUUCACAGCUGAGUAGAGAUUAGAAACAUAAUUAUAUGUCAUUCCAGGAGCUGGAUGAUUUAACUUCUUUUCAGCUUAAUACUCAACUAUUUACCCAUCCAGCCUUCAUUGCAUCGACAGUGUCCUGUUUUUGUGUCGCAGAGUGAGUAAUUCUGACAGUGGCAUCGAUUGCGACAGUUCACUCCCCACGUCCCAUUACGGCAUCCUGCAAAAUAUUUUACCAACAAAAUAGAAGUGAAGAAAGAUCCAACGGAUCCACAGGACCAUAAUCGCUUACUCUGCAAGCAAUGUUUGCCACUGAAUCCUGCCUCACAGCUGCACACGUUCGGUGUCUGACACUCGCCAUGGAUGCAACCACCGCGGCAUAUUGGACGACACUCACCGGUGGUUCCAUUUCCGGUGCGCCGUUCCUGGUACCCUUCGCAACAGAACUCCACGCGGCGUGUCUUGGUGAUAUUCUGAAAUGGUUUAAUAACAGUUCAACAAACAGUGAUCGUUAAGUGUGAUCGUGAUGUUUAGAAUUCAGAACCAGCUUCUCAAGCAACCGGCCGGAAGCAGCGGUCCCGAACAUGGUGUGACGCAAUAAACACAAUCAUACACGUGCAUACGAUCAGACGUUUGUAGCGUUUUAUGACGUCGAAUCGCAAAAA